rnacentral:rRNA from 1 species
UACGGAGGGUGCAAGCGUUAUCCGGAUUUACUGGGUUUAAAGGGUGCGUAGGCGGGUCUUUAAGUCAGGGGUGAAAUCCUGGAGCUCAACUCCAGAACUGCCUUUGAUACUGAAGAUCUUGAGUUCGGGAGAGGUGAGUGGAACUGCGAGUGUAGAGGUGAAAUGUGUAGAUAUUCGGAAGAACACCAGUGGCGAAGGCAGCGAACUGGCCCUAUAUUGACGCUCAGGCACGAAAGCAUGGGGAUCAAACAGG